AGAUAUUGUUGCACAUGAGCAAAGGGCAUUUUCCAAGAAAUCGAAAGAAAGAUGUAGGGAUGUUUCAACUGGGAUUUUUGAGUGGCUUGAGUAGAGUUAUAUGAGAAAUUGAUUGAACUUGGUGAUGUUAAAGAAGUUAUCUUCAAAGCCCGGGCAAAGGAGAACUGCAUCAGGGCAACAGAAGGGGUCAAAAAAUUUACAUACUUGUUGUAUGAACAACCUUUCAAAUCAGUAACCUUAUUAGAGGCAAGGCUUCAUUCUGAGUCCAGAAGUGUAAUGGUUCUGCUGAGAUAAAUCAUUCUGGUAUCAAUAGUUUAGGGAAGGACAUCAGGCCAAAAAAAGUGAGAUUACUGACUGUAGCAUAUACAGGGACAGUUGUACUGAUAUGUUGUUUCCUAGUGAAACUUUUUAGAGAGGAACUAUAGCAAAUCUAUCAUGAGAUAAUAAUGAAGGUUCGACUUUGAGAGAGGCGGAACCCAAGCUGUCUUCCAUUUCUCAGAUGCUCAUGGUUAAUGUACAUGUUGUUUUUUGAAGUUUGGCGAGUAUAUCUAUCUUGUGCUUCCGUAUUUCUCUCCUUUUUACACAUUUUUUUGUGCAGUUGUCUAUUUUUUGCUCUCAGGUUUGCUGGACCGCCUUGAGUCAUAUAUUUUUUAAUGCUAUAGCUGCAUAUUGUGAGCGGUGUUACUCUUGGCAAAUAGCUGUCUAAUUCGUGAUCAAUUUUCUGCAGAAAUCUGAAAAGGUGGGAUCCGAUCAUCAAAAGUCCGAAUGAAGUAUUCAUGCGGUUCAAUUUGUAAGCUGCUUUUAGGAAUUAAACAUACAUUAUGAAGCCACUUUAUUUGGUUGAUAAUAGAAUAACUCGUGAAGUUCCUGAGCUUGUACGUGUAACUGGCAAACCUUACCUGAAUUGUACCAAAAAAGGUAUUUCAUGAAUCGUUGGACAUGCCUCUUUUAAUCGACUUUUCAAAGCUAUUUUUGUGUGUUCACUCUUUGUCAAUGCUCAUUUGUUUGAUUUUCGUACACAAUGAGUUGAUGAGUUCCAUCUUUCCCUUCAAGAUUAAAGCAUUCAUUCUUGUAAGUAAUUUAGUUUCGCGUUUCAAGACACUCCAGAAUGCAAUUUUGAUGUGAUAUGCACAAUCUUUUGUAAAA
rnacentral:lncRNA from 1 species